rnacentral:misc_RNA from 1 species
AGAAUCUUCCAUGUAUUUUAACCAAGGUGUCAUAUUUUGUGUGAAACUCAUUUAUUCUCAUCUGUAGGGUUUUCAUCAUUUUUUUCGUUUCUGCUCUGUAGAUAGAUCACCAGUGUAAUACUGCAGCUGAUUUCACAACCUUGAGGUUUCUUCUCUACAAUCUUUUGAUUGGUUAGCUUCUUUAUUUGCAAUAUGAACUGUCGUAUACAAGCGUAAAAUAUAAAUUUGGGACAGAGACAAAACAAAAUCUUUUUAUUGAAUACUUUUAAUUUCCUGCGAUGGACAUCUUGAAAUUGGACAUGAUCUAAUGGUGCAAUAUAACAAUUAUUUUUUGAGUUUGAAAAAAGUAAUAGUAUCAUCAUUUUCAAAUUUGAAACAUAAGGAAUUGGUUGUUAAAAAAGAGGUAUUAAGUGAAUAUUUUACAUCAGAAUGAUUGUUUUAGUGAUUGGCAGUCAAUAUUCAGUAUAUUUUCGUUUAAAAUGAAACACAGCUUUGCUAUGUUUGUACAUGUACAAAUAUUUUCUGUUUAUUGUCUGUAGUGUGUGUAGGGUUAGCUCCAUUGUUUUGGAGUACCACAUAAAUGAGAGAGAAUGUGGGAUGAUUAAGUUAUUGGAGAACAAACCGUUGUAGCAAUGUGAAUGAUAGAGGACUUCCAUGUUCUUCAUACAUGUCCAGAAAGCAAGCUUUAUUUAACUUCUUUUUAAUACUCAAGGUUACCAUAAUUUGUAAAUGAAUCUUUUCAAUGAAAAAUACAUUUAUAUAAGU